rnacentral:rRNA from 1 species
AGCGAACGCUGGCGGCAGGCUUAACACAUGCAAGUCGAGCGGGCAUAGCAAUAUGUCAGCGGCAGACGGGCGAGUAACGCGUGGGAACGUACCUUUUGGUUCGGAACAACUGAGGGAAACUGCAGCUAAUACCGGAUAAGCCCUUACGGGGACAGAUUUAUCGCCGAAAGAUCGGCCCGGGUCUGAUUAGCUAGUUGGUGAGGUAAUGGCUCACCAAGGCGACGAUCAGUAGCUGGUCUGAGAGGAUGAUCAGCCACAUUGGGACUGAGACACGGCCCAAACUCCUACGGGAGGCAGCAGUGGGGAAUAUUGGACAAUGGGCGCAAGCCUGAUCCAGCCAUGUCGCGUGAGUGAUGAAGGCCCUAGGGUUGUAAAGCUCUUUUGUGCGGGAAGAUAAUGACGGUACCGCAUGAAUAAGCCCCGGCUAACUUCGUGCCAGCCGCCGCGGUAA